GUAUAAUGUGGUUAUAAAUUUUAAAACGAAUUAAAAGAUUAUACGCUUCAUAUAUAGAACAUUUACCGAAAACUCACUAUUUUCAUAGGGGGGUACACAUAGAUUUUGAGAAAAAUUCAAAAAACUUGAGAAUACAGUUUUAAUACAUAUUUGAAUCAUGUAAUAAAAUAUGAUGAAGUUCAAAGAGGUUUGGAACCUUUGUUGUUU
rnacentral:lncRNA from 1 species